CUUUUGAGUAUGGCUGCAAUAUAAUUGUCUUAUCAGGCGUCCUCACAAGUUACUUGCAUUCAGGGUUUGAUGUUGGCAUAGGUUUGGGUUUAUGUUGGCGAUUUUUGUUCUGGGGGCCUUAGACUCAGCUGGUAGAGCACCUGCUUUGCAAGCAGGGGGUCGUCGGUUCGAUCCCGACAGGCUCCACCAUGAAAGUAUUUAUGGGUCUGUAGCUCAGGUGGUUAGAGCGCACCCCUGAUAAGGGUGAGGUCGGUGGUUCGAGUCCUCCCAGACCCACCAAUGUUAUAUCAAUUAUUCUGAAUGUGGUUUGCGCAUUUUUUAUGCUUAUCAGCCUUGGAGCUGUGAAGCGUUCUUUUAUAAUUUGAUGAUGUAGCAAGCGUUUGAACUUUUUGUUAAUAAUUUCUCAUUGGAAGCCUUAAGUGACAAUGUUUAUCCAUUGUCUUGUAGAUUUUGAGGCGACUUUGGGUUAUAUGGUCAAGCGAAUAA
rnacentral:misc_RNA from 1 species